UGGUGCCUUCGGGAACUCUGAGACAGGUGCUGCAUGGCUGUCGUCAGCUCGUGUUGUGAAAUGUUGGGUUAAGUCCCGCAACGAGCGCAACCCUUAUCCUUUGUUGCCAGCGGUUUGGCCGGGAACUCAAAGGAGACUGCCAGUGAUAAACUGGAGGAAGGUGGGGAUGACGUCAAGUCAUCAUGGCCCUUACGAGUAGGGCUACACACGUGCUACAAUGGCGCAUACAAA
rnacentral:rRNA from 1 species